CACUUUGGGCAUCAUGCAUCACAACGAGCAGGCCACAGAGAAUGCCAAGGAGGAGGUGAAACGAAUUCUGGAACUGCUAAAUGCUCACUUGAAAAUGAAGACUUUCCUGGUGGGCGAAUGUGUGACCCUGGCUGACAUAACAGUUGUCUGUACCCUGUGGUGGCUUUACAAACAGGUCCUAGAGUCUUCUUUUCGUCAGGCCUUCCCCAAUACCAACCUCUGGUUCCUCACCUGCAUUAACCAGCCCCAGUUCCGGGCUGUUUUGGGGGAGGUGAAGCUCUGUGAGAAGAUGGCUCAGUUCGAUGCUAAAAAGUUUGCUGAGAGCCAACCUAAGAAGGACACCUCACGGAAAGAGAAAGGUCAGUGGGAGGAGAAGCAGAAGGCUCAGGCUGAGCGGAAAGAAGAGAAGAAGGCCACGGCUGCUGCCCCUGAGGAGGAGAUGGACGAAUGUGAGCAGGCACUAGCUGCUGUGCCAAAGGCCAAGGAGCCCUUUGCUUACCUGCCCAAGAGUACUUUUGUGUUGGACGAAUUUAAACGCAAGUACUCCAACGAGGACACGGUCUCUGUGACACUUCCGUAUUUCUGGGAGCACUUUGAUAAGGAUGGCUGGUCUUUGUGGUAUUCUGAAUACCGCUUCCCCGAGGAGCUCACCCAGGCCUUCAUGAGCUACAACCUCAUCACCAGAAUGUUCCAGAGAUUGGACAAUCUGAGGAAGAAUGCCUUUGCCAGUGUCAUCCUCUUUGGGACCAACAACAGCAGCUCCAUCUCUGGGAACUGGGUCUUCAGAGGCCAAGAGCUUGCUGAGUCCAGAUUGGCAGGUGGACUAUGAGUCCUACACGUGGGGGAAGCUGGAUCCUGGCAGCAAGGAGACACAGACGCUGGUGCGGGAGUACUUUUCCUGGGAGGGAGUCUUCCAGCAUGUGGGCAAAAACUUCAACCAGGGCAAGGUCUUCAAGUAAACACCAUGUCGUUCAUCACCUGACUACCUGUGUCUGCCCCUCAGGGAGGGGUCAUUAAAGGGAACUGAACAUUGAAAAAAAA